rnacentral:rRNA from 1 species
UUCCGGUUGAUCCUGCCGGACCCGACUGCUAUCAGAGUGGGACUAAGCCAUGCGAGUCAACGCAGCAAUGCGUGGCAUACGGCUCAGUAACACGUAGUCAACAUGCCCAGGGGACGUGGAUAACCUCGGGAAACUGAGGAUAAACCGCGAUAGGCCAAGAUUUCUGGAAUGGAUAAUGGCUGAAAUCUAUAUGGCCCCUGGAUUGGACUGCGGCCGAUCAGGCUGUUGGUGAGGUAAUGGCCCACCAAACCUGUAACCGGUACGGGCUCUGAGAGGAGGAGCCCGGAGAUGGGCACUGAGACAAGGGCCCAGGCCCUAUGGGGCGCAGCAGGCGCGAAACCUCUGCAAUAGGCGAAAGCUUGACAGGGUUACUCUGAGUGAUGUCCGUUAAGGGCAUCUUUUGGCACUUCUAAAAAUAGUGUAGAAUAAGGGGUGGGCAAGUCUGGUGUCAGCCGCCGCGGUAAUACCAGCACCCCGAGUGGUCGGGACGAUUAUUGGGCCUAAAGCAUCCGUAGCCGGUUCUGCAAGUCUUCCGCUAAAUCCACCUGCUCAACAGAUGGGCUGCGGAGGAUACUACAGGGCUAGGAGGCGGGAGAGGCGGGCGGUACUCUACGUGUAGGGGUAAAAUCCUUUGAUCCGUAGAAGACCACCAGUGGCGAAGGCGGCCCGCCAGAACGCGCUCGACGGUGAGGGAUGAAAGCUGGGGGAGCGAACCGGAUUAGAUACCCGGGUAGUCCCAGCCGUAAACGAUGCGAGCUAGAUGAUCCAGUCGCAAAUCGCGAUUGGAGUGUCGCAGGGAAGCCGUUAAGCUCGCCGCCUGGGGAGUACGGUCGCAAGACUGAAACUUAAAGGAAUUGGCGGGGGAGCA